UAGUUGCUGGGGUUAUAUAAUCAGCCUGCAGGGGCUGACUAGCCAGAUGCGUUAAUAACAUCUUCAGAAGAGGUCAACAUCAGGAGGAUGGCUACCCAAAGAAGGCGCCGACGCAGAAGAAUCGCUAGGUAUCGGAAGAAAGUACCAGGAAAAGGGAAACGUGUCCGCCAUUACUACUAUUACAGAGUACUUGGUUAGCUCGCUCCUGCCACGCUACAACUCAUCAAGCAGAAGCUAAAAUAAGAAAUUAACAGAACAGUCUUGGAUUAAGUACAAAAAAUGACAUGCUAACAAGAAUGCUUCGAUGUAUGAAAUCACUGUUGGAAUAGCAUGGUAAACACUCUGUAGGAACUGUGUAGAGUGCAAUUAAAUAAACUUGGAAAAUUCA